AAAGGAUUCGGUUCACUUAAAAGAGCCAGUGCUUUCCGUCACUGAAGGAAGUGAAGUGCGCGGUGAAAAAGCAUCAUAAUGGACGCUACAGUGGCAUGUAAUAAUUGUGGCUUACCGUACACGUUGUCUGAGGGUGAGGUUGUGGGGAGGCUGCCCCAUGUGCUCUUCUGUGUGGAGUGUCUCUGCUCUCUGGAGUGUCCUCAGGACUCCAACUCUGUCCCCUCAGUCAGCUGUCCCGAGUGUAGGACAGCGAUAAAGAGGGCAGGACCUGGUCAGACCUCCAGUCAGACGUGGAAGUGUCUGGGUAAAGACCACCAAGAGAUGCUGCAGAACUGGCAGCCGAUGGACGAUAUGCCGUGUGAGCGUAUUCUUCUGCUUUCUGAUUAACUUUCUUUGCCAUGCUGAGGGAGGUGUUGACUAAAUUAGAGAUGGUGCUGGACCAACAAACCACUGAGAUUGCUUCAACUACAGGAGGUCCAGCUGCAGCCUUUGGAUGUUGAAGAUUUACUGCCCUGCAAGACCUUCCUCAACUGCGUAGUCUGGAGCGAAGGAUGCAACAGAGCCCAGAUUACAAGCAAGAUCUGUUCAUAGAAACCUCUUUACGCCUAAAGCUGCAGCGAUGGAGGUCGAGGGGACCAUGAAGAGGUGGCUCCAGCUGGCAUCAGAUCAAGAGUGUGGGUGCAAGAGAAGUCUUUUGCAAAAAGAAGCUACCAGGAAUCCUGAAGAAGGACUAGCGCAUUGGAGCGGUCGUGCUGCACGUGGGGGCAAACAUCAGGCUGUGGCAGGCGGAGGUUCUGAAGAGGGACUUCUCCAGCCUGAUCGAGACGGUACGAGGCAGAUCACCCACCGCGAAGAUCAUCGUCUCUGGACCUCUUCCCUCAUACAGAGGUGGAGCUGAAAGGCUCAGUAGACUUCUUGCUUUGAAUGACUGGUUAGUUUCUUGGUGUAAUGAACAGAAUCUGCUGUUUGUUAAUAACUGGAAUCUGUUCUGGGAUCGGAACUGCUGUCAGACAACAUCUCCAAGACGCUACAGACCAAGUGACUGUCUACCGUCAAAUUAUUCAUAAACAUGGAAUGAAUUUCCACUGUUAUGCUGAUGAUACAGAGCUGUAUGUUUGCAACUGAACAAUAACAACAAUAAACAACAACUGAAGAAUAGCGAAAAACUUCUGUUUUCGUGCUUACUUGAAGACGAUGAGGCAGAGCAGCAUCGGAGAGACAGUUCGCUCCAUUCUCCAAAGAAUCGGGGAGAACAGUCUGUAAUGUAUGUUUUUGUUGAAAGUGUCAAAAGGUGGGAAGCUGGCUUUGACUGAUCAGGAUGAAGUGUAUCGCCUUGUACACUAUAUUGCCGAACAAGCACAUGGACGUGAAUAUACUGUUGCCGGUUGCAGAGAGGCCAUCGGCAGCUACCUAAAAAAUGCCCCAGGCAGGAAAAGUGGCAAGAAACAUAUUAUGAGUGUUUAUGAUGAAGCAGAGCUACGUGGGAUCUCCAGUGCGUCCUGCAAGAAUUGGGCCUGAGUCCAGUUCAGAUUCAAUUUUGUAAUCUCAUUCCUCUCCCUUGCGUGACAGCCUCCAAACAGUACAAUUCUAAUGAGCUUGAAUAUACGGGGAAUUCCAUUGGGUUUGAUGUCUGACUAAUUAAAGACCCACCUCUUCUAUGAACACCUAACCAACUCAUAAUAAAAAAAAAAUUAUUUAAAAAAAAAAAUGCACUUACACCUCUAGUCUGCACUUUGCUUCUUCUAGAAUUCAAUGAAUAGAUCUUGUAUGGUAGCUGCUCUUGUAUUGUUCUCUGCUUGAUAUAUCGCUUUGCUUGUAUCUUUCUUAUUUGUAAGUCGCUUUGGAUAAAAGCGUCUGCUAAGUGAAUGUAAUGUAAAUGUAAUAAAUUGUUUUCUUUGAUUAGCAAUACAUAGGUACUAUAUCUGGCUGUUUUGUGUGUUACAAUAUUGAAUGUCAUUUUUCAGCUAUUCACUUUGUCUGCAUUUACUAAAAUUCAUGCAUGUUUAUUAAAAAUAUUCACGGAGUUUGUUAAACUAUAUAAUUGUUGUCUAUCAUUCAUAAGAUUCGUCAUGGGAAUUCCAUAGACCAGAAUCUAACAUCCACAUUAUUGAAGCAUUGUUUAAUUACGGAUUUUUUUAAGCAUGCGGUAUGUUAUAUGCUUUAAUUGUAUCUUGCCACAUAAUGUUGGAAAAUGAGUACUUGUGUACUUUUCAAGAAAUUAGAUACAAAAAGGAUUACACAUAUCUGAUUAGAAAAAAUA